UACGGAGGAUGCGAGCGUUAUCCGGAUUUAUUGGGUUUAAAGGGUGCGUAGGCGGACUGUUAAGUCAGCGGUAAAAGCCCGGGGCUCAACCCCAUCCAGCCGUUGAAACUGGGGAUCUAGAGUGUGCGAGAGGUAUGCGGAAUGCGUGGUGUAGCGGUGAAAUGCAUAGAUAUAUGGAAGAACACCAGUGGCGAAGGCGGCUUGCUGGGCCUGUACUGACAUUGAGGCACGAAAGCGUGGGGAGCAAAUAGG
rnacentral:rRNA from 1 species